rnacentral:rRNA from 1 species
AUUGAACGCUGGCGGCAUGCUUUACACAUGCAAGUCGAACGGCAGCGCGGGCUUCGGCCUGGCGGCGAGUGGCGAACGGGUGAGUAAUGCAUCGGAACGUGCCCAGUAGUGGGGGAUAGCCCGGCGAAAGCCGGAUUAAUACCGCAUACGACCUGAGGGUGAAAGCGGGGGACCGAAAGGCCUCGCGCUAUUGGAGCGGCCGAUGUCGGAUUAGCUAGUUGGUGGGGUAAAGGCUUACCAAGGCGACGAUCCGUAGCUGGUCUGAGAGGACGACCAGCCACACUGGGACUGAGACACGGCCCAGACUCCUACGGGAGGCAGCAGUGGGGAAUUUUGGACAAUGGGGGCAACCCUGAUCCAGCCAUGCCGCGUGCGGGAAGAAGGCCUUCGGGUUGUAAACCGCUUUUGUUCGGGAAGAAAUCCUCUGGGCUAAUACCCCGGGGGGAUGAUGGUACCGGAAGAAUAAGCACCGGCUAACUACGUG